CCUACGGGUGGCAGCAGUGGGGAAUAUUGCACAAUGGGCGCAAGCCUGAUGCAGCCAUGCCGCGUGUGUGAAGAAGGCCUUCGGGUUGUAAAGCACUUUCAGCGGGGAGGAAGGCGGUGAGGUUAAUAACCUCAUCGAUUGACGUUACCCGCAGAAGAAGCACCGGCUAACUCCGUGCCAGCAGCCGCGGUAAUACGGAGGGUGCAAGCGUUAAUCGGAAUUACUGGGCGUAAAGCGCACGCAGGCGGUCUGUCAAGUCGGAUGUGAAAUCCCCGGGCUCAACCUGGGAACUGCAUUCGAAACUGGCAGGCUAGAGUCUUGUAGAGGGGGGUAGAAUUCCAGGUGUAGCGGUGAAAUGCGUAGAGAUCUGGAGGGAUACCGGUGGCGAAGGCGGCCCCCUGGACAAAGACUGACGCUCAGGUGCGAAAGCGUGGGGAGCAAACAGGAUUAGAUACCCCUGUAGUC
rnacentral:rRNA from 1 species